GACGAACGCUGGCGGCGUGCUUAACACAUGCAAGUCGAACGGAAAGGCCCUGCUUGCAGGGUACUCGAGUGGCGAACGGGUGAGUAACACGUGGGUGAUCUGCCCUGCACUUCGGGAUAAGCCUGUGCAACUGGGUCUAAUACCGGAUAGGAGCCAUUUGUAGUGUGAUGGUUGGAAAGUUUUUUCGGUGUAGGAUGAGCUCGCGGCCUAUCAGCUUGUUGGUGGGGUAAUGGCCUACCAAGGCGGCGACGGGUAGCCGGCCUGUGAGGGUGGACGGCCACAUUGGGACUGAGAUACGGCACAGACUGCUACGGGAGGCAGCAGUGGGGAAUAUUGCACAAUGGGCGCAAGCCUGAUGCAGAGACGCCGCGUGGGGGAUGACGGCCUUAGGGUUGUAAACUCCUUUCGCUAGGGACGAAGCUUUUUGUGACGGUACCUAGAUAAGAAGCAACGGCUAACUACGUG
rnacentral:rRNA from 1 species